AGAGUUUGAUCAUGGCUCAGAACGAACGCUGGCGGCGUGCUUAACACAUGCAAGUCGAACGAGAAAGUGGUUUUCGGACCGCGAGUAGAGUGGCGCACGGGUGAGUAACGCGUAGGUAAUCUACCCUUAUACCUGGGAUAACAUCGGGAAACUGGUGCUAAUACCGGAUACACUUCUUAGCUGCGGGGUUAAGGAGGAAAGGUGGCCUCUUCAUGAAAGCUACUGUAUAGGGAUGAGCCUGCGUACCAUUAGCUAGUAGGUGUGGGUAACGGCCCACCUAGGCUACGAUGGUUAGCGGGUCUGAGAGGAUGAUCCGCCACACUGGAACUGGAACACGGACCAGACUCCUACGGGAGGCAGCAGUGAGGAAUAUUGCGCAAUGGGGGCAACCCUGACGCAGCGACGCCGCGUGAGUGAGGAAGGUCUUCGGAUCGUAAAGCUCUGUCAGAAGGGAAGAAGUGUUAUAUGGCCAACACCCAUGUAAUUUGACGGUACCUUCAGAGGAAGCACCGGCUAACUCCGUGCCAGCAGCCGCGGUAACACGUAAGGGGCAAGCGUUGUUCGGAUUUAUUGGGCGUAAAGGGCGUGUAGGCGGUUGUCCAAGCCUGGUGUGAAAGGCUCUGGCUUAACCAGAGUUAGGCGCUGGGAACUGGGCGACUAGAGUUCAGGAGGGGAAGCUGGAAUUCCUGGUGUAGGGGUGAAAUCUGUAGAUAUCAGGAAGAACACCGGUGGCGAAGGC
rnacentral:rRNA from 1 species